rnacentral:misc_RNA from 1 species
GGGCUAUAUAUCCGCACUACAAUUUUCCUAAACUUCACUCAAGGCAAGGAACACUCUGCAGGCAGUCCUUGCGGGAAUCGCUUCAGAUCCUUACAAUAGUUGUAGAUCAUAUAGUUCUUCUGCACCCAUGCCAGCCUUCCCUGGCUCACAGAAUCAAGCCCUUGGCUGAACCAACCGUUUUGUGAGUUAGGCGUAGAACCGCAUGACGACGAACCGGACCACACACAAGCUUGAGCAUUAUAACCCUGAUAGGAAGCCGUGAAAGGAGCCUUGGUCCAAUCAGUUUUAACAAGCCCGCCCCUUGUUGCCCAGUCCUCAGCGUCCCACAGGCUUGAGUACAUCCUCAUGGGCUGCUUGUUUGGGAAGGGGAUGUUGUUGGCUUCAUGAUUCUUGAAAACUCUUAAUGGAGUUCCAUCGACAGAAAAUAUAACGUUUUGAGGGUUCCAGAGGAUGGAGUAGGUAUGG